UACCAUGGUGGUAACGGGUAACGGGGUGUUAGGGCACGACACCGGAGAGGGAGCCUGAGAAACGGCUACCACAUCCAAGGAUGGCAGCAGGCGCGCAAAUUACCCAAUCCCGACACGGGGAGGUAGUGACAAUAAAUAACAAUACGGGGUUCUUUAGGAUCUCGUAAUCGGAAUGAGUACAAUUUAAAUCUCUUAACGAGGAACAAUUGGAGGGCAAGUCUGGUGCCAGCAGCCGCGGUAAUUCCAGCUCCAAUAGCGUAUAUUAAAGUUGUUGCAGUUAAAAAGCUCGUAGUUGAAUUUCGGGGUCAGUAGGUCGGUCGUGCCACUGGUAUGAACUGGUUUUACUGAUUCCUCCCUCUUGAAGAACUGUAAUGCCAUUAAUUUGGUGUUGCAGGGGAUCAGGACUGUUACUUUGAAAAAAUUAGAGUGUUUAAAGCAGGCUUUAGCUUGAAUACAUUAGCAUGGAAUAAUGAAAUAGGACGUUUGAUCCUAUUUUGUUGGUUUCUAGGAUUGACGUAAUGAUUAAUAGGGAUAGUUGGGGGCAUUAGUAUUCAAUUGUCAGAGGUGAAAUUCUUGGAUUUAUUGAAGACUAACUACUGCGAAAGCAUUUGCCAAGGAUGUUUUCAUUAAUCAAGAACGAAAGUUAGGGGAUCGAAGACGAUCAGAUACCGUCGUAGUCUUAACCAUAAACUAUGCCGACUAGGGAUCGGAUGAUGUUAAUUUUUUAAUGACUCAUUCGGCGCCUUACGGGAAACCAAAGUGUUU
rnacentral:rRNA from 1 species